AAUAUGAGUCUUCGAAGACAGUUGCUCCCAUAAAUUCCAAAAUAAAAUUUUGGAUUUAUGGAGGGGAAAUUUUUAUUUUGGAAUGAAUGGGAGCAACUGUCUUCGAAGAUUCAUAUUGUCAUUAAUGCUCGAAAUGAGGAGUAGCUAAACAGCUGACAACUGAUUAGGGUUCGUUCUCUGUGUUACGUUUCCUGUUUUCCAUUUUUUCUCUUACUGCUUGCGCAUUUAACUCGUUUGUUUUCGUGUUUCAUGUUGUUUACAUAGUUGGUGACGUCCUGUACCCAUAUAUGCAUAUAUAUACAUGAACGCCACGCAUCCAUUUCCAGGUAAGUUUAUGUACAUAUAUAUUAAUAUAUAUAUAUAUAUAUAUAUAUAUACAUACAUACAUACAUAUAUAUAUAUAUAUAUAUAUAUAUAUAUAUAUUGGCAAUAUAUAUAUAUAUAUAUAUAUUUGGCAUAAUUAAAUCUCAGAAUGAGAUUGAAACAGUAAUCGCUCGAUAAUGUAAAGUAUAGAAGCCAUCAGCCAUGAUAAGAUGGCUUCUAUAUAUUACAUUAUAUAUAUAUAUUAUUUAAAGGAAUUCCAACUUUGUCUGUUUUUAUGUUUUAUUUAUAUUCUUUACAAUAUUAAUGUAGAAUAUAGAAUAUAUUGUAUAACUAGUAUAUAUAUAGUAAAAUGAAAUGAAGUAUUGAUUGUCUUAUUGAAUAGAUGAAAUAUUGAAUAUAAAAUAUUAAGGGACUAGUAUACUUUCUUGCAUUAAAGCAGUCUUCAAGGUCCCAGGUUGUGACAGGAGUGUUUAAACUGUGUCAACUGUUUUAACACUCCUGUCACAACCUGGGACCUUGAAGACUGCUUUAAUGCAAGAAAGUAUACUAGUCCCUUAAUAUUUUAUAUUCAAUAUUUCAUCUAUUCAAUACUUCAUUUCAUUUUACUAUAUAAAUUAUUUAUACUAUAUAUUCUAUAUUCUACAUUAAUAUUAUCACGUGAUCACGUGACCGACCAGACCAUCAGAUGUUGCUACACAUCGCUGGUCACAAUGCGUUCGCAUUGUUUUAGCCUUCGAACGACGCCACCCCACUGGCUAAGCGAGCAGGCCAACAGAAGAAAGAGAGAAAGAGUGGUGAAAGAGUACAGCAGAGAUCGCCACCACCCCCUGCCGGAGCCUCGUGGAGCUUUUAGGUGUUUUUGCUCAAUAAACACACACAACGCCCGGUCUGGGAAUCGAAACCUCGAUCCUACGACUACGAGUUCGCUGCCCUAACCACUGGGCCAUUGCGCCUCCAGAAUAUAAAUAAAACAUAAAAAACAGACAGAGUUGGAAUUCCUUUGAAUAAUAUAUAUCCCUUUAUACACAAUCAUACAAACUCCUUUUUAUUUAUUUAUAUACAUAUAUAUAUAUAUAUAUAUGGGUGGGUUUAUAUGUGCGUAUGUAUGAGUGUAUCCUUGUGCAUGUGUUUGUCUACCAGCAGCACCUGACAACUGGUGUUAGUGUGUUCACGUCCCCGUAGCUUAGAAGUUGACCAAAAGUGACCGAGAGAAUAAGUACUCGGCACACACACAAAAAAAGACAAAGUAAGUCCUAGGGUCGAUUAAUUCCAGUAAAGUUAUUCAAAAUAGUGCCCCAGUAUGGCCGCCGUGUAAUGACUAAAGCAAGUAAAACGUAAAAAGAUGGACAAGCAAAUUAAACAUCAUUCUUGGUUUUCUCAGAAACUUCCAAUCUUUAUUGCUUUAACUUUAUACCUUCUGAUGGCAACUAACGGAGUCUUUUUCACAGAGAUCUUCAGUGAAGAAUAUGGAAAGACAUUAACAGAAAAAAUGUAAAGUAAUUCUAGUGCUUUUCUUUUCUUUUUCUUCUUUCACUAGAAAUUCUUUACCAGCAAAUUCUUUUGGGAUCAUUUCAAUUGAUUUCGGUUCCCGCCUUACAUAUGAUGAUGCAAUUGACACACUAACGCACGAAGACUCAUAUUAUAUAUAUAUAUAUAUAUAUAUAUAUAUAUAUAUAUAUAUAUAUAUAUAUAUAUAUACAUGCAUACACAGAUAUAUAUAUAUAUAUAUAUAUAUAUAUAUAUACACACACACACACAUAUACACAGAUAUAUGUACACAUACAUAUAUAUACAUAUAUGUUUAUAUAUAUAUAUAUGUAAUAUGUAUAUAAAUAUAAAUUCAUAUAUAUGAAUGCAUAUAUAUAUAUAUAUUUAGAUGUUUAUACAUGUACCUACAUAUAUAUAUAUAUAUAUAUAUAUAUAUAUAUAUAUAUAUAUAAUUUGUUUACAAGAGGAGUGAAGCAUAUAUGUUUGCAUUUAUGUUCACAUGUAUGUGUGUGCGUGUGUAUAAAUAGUGUAUACAUUUAAAUAUAAUCUCAUACAAUAUAUGCAUAAUUCGGACAAAUUACUGCUAGCUCGUCAUACAUAUACGCAAGUACAUGUGUGUGUGUGUGUGUGUGUGUGUCUGCGACUGAUAUUUUCAUUAAAUAUGUAUCUUGAGGAUACACCUCAGGGAUGUAAUGGGAAUAUGUGAAUGAAGCUAGUCCAGUCUGGCUACUUUAUGUGAAUAGGUCCCUAUAAAAUUAUAUAUAUAUAAUUAGGAUAAUUACACACACACACAUACACACACACAUACAUAGAUAGACAGAUAGACGGACGGAAAGGCAUGCAGCCAGGUGGACAGACAGACAGGCAGAUAGAUAGAUAGAUAGAUAGAUAGAUAGAGAGAGAGAGAGAGAGAGAGAGAGAGAGAGAGAGAGAGAGAGAUAAAAUACAUAUACAUACAUAAUUAGUUUUGAAUAAGGACAGCAAUUUUGAAGUUUACUCGAUGGCAUGAAGCCAUUUCUUGACAGGUACUCCAUUUUAUCGAUACCGAAGGGAUGAGAAGUAAAGGUGACAUCGGCUGGAACUGAGCUCACACCGUAAAAGCCAACAUAAAUAGUGCAGCAAAUAUACGCAUGAUGCAUAUAUGCAUGAUACAUAUACAUGCAUACAUAUGCAUAUUACGUAUAUAUAUAUAUAUAUAUAUAUAUAUAUAUAUAUAUUUAUAUAUAUAUAUUUGACUGAAGAUUAGAGGCUUCGAAUGACCCGUCCGUUUUCUGUGUUCGUCCCUUUGUGUAUUUCACGUUCUUCUUUCUUUAUAUAUAAUUUUUAUACCUAUAUAUAUAUAUAUAUAUAUAUAUAUAUAUAUACCGGAGUAAACACAUAAAUGUGAAACAAGGUGGAAAAAAGAGUACUCAAAUACCAGUGGUAGAGUAAUAUGCUUUAUUUAAAGCAGCAGAAAAUUCAACAAAACCUGUUACUCUGAGUUUCCCGUUUCCGUUUGUCGGAAACGGGAAACUCAGAGUAACAGGUUUUGUUGAAUUUUCUGCUGCUUUAAAUAAAGUAUAUAUAUAUAUAUAUAUAUAUCACAGGCGUAUACACAUAAACAUAUACGCAAAUAAUAUAUGCAGGAGCGGCUGUGUGGUAAGUAGCUUGUUUACCAACCACAUGGUUCCGGGUUCAGUCCCACUGCGUGGCACCUUGGGCAAGUGUCUUCUACUAUAGCCUCGGGCCGACCAAAGCCUUGUGAGUGGAUUUGGUAGACGGAAACUGAAAGAAGCCCGUUGUAUAUAUAUAUAUAUAUAUAUAUAUAUAUAUAUGCGUUUGUGUGUCUGUGUUUGUCCCCCUAGCAUUGCUUGACAACCGAUGCUGGUGUGUUUAUCUUCCCGUUACUUAGCGGUUCGGCAAAAGAGACGGAUAGAAUAAGUACUGGGUUUACAAAAGAAUAAGCCCCGGGGUCGAGUUGCUCGAUUAAAGGCGGUGCUGAAACAAGUAAAAGAGUAUAUAUGCAUACAGACAUACUGACAUACACGCACACACACACACGUAUAUAUAUAUGUGUGUGUGGUGUGUGUGCGUGUUUGUGUGUAUGUGUGUGUGUGUGUAUGUGUUUACAGACACACGUUUCUAAAUGUAGGCAGGAAUAUAUUUACUCGUACACGCACUUGUGAGUGAGUCUUAGUGCGUAAAUACAUACAAAAACACGCACAUGUACAUACAUACACGCGCCAUCACACACCCGCACACGCUCACAAACAAACACACACACAUACGCACAGUCGCUUCCCCUGCGUCCUCUGCCCACUGAACCUUAUCACUCCUGCAAUGUUAUUCUUGAGUCAACAGCCAACUCCAAAUUAACUCACUGCUGCGAAGUUAGACGCGCGCGCACACAAACACACACACACACAAACACACACACACAUACACACACACACACAAACACACACACACACAAACACACACAGACAUGUGUCUCAGAGGCACAAACUCACGCAUUAUCAACAUGUCAGCGAGAAUUUGAUGACAAACACAGCACUGAACACUUCUAAACUCGGUUUAACAAUUGUUUAAACGUCCGGCAAACAUACAUACGUACGUACGUACAUACAUACAUAACACAUAUACAUAUACAGAUAUACAUACAUACAUGCAUACAUACAUACAUAUAUACAUACGUACAUACAUAUACAGAUAUACAUACAUACAUAUAUACAUACACACAUCCAUACAUAGAUAUAUACAUAUACAUGCAUACAUACAUACACACACAUAUACACAUACAUGCAUAAUUGCAAAAAUGCACGCAAAGAUACAUAUAUAUAUAUAUAUAUAUAUAUAUAUAUAUAUACAUGCAUUCAGACAUGCAUAUAUCAUACAUGCACACGCACACUUACAUACAUACAUACAUACAUACAUGCAUGCAUACAUAUAUACCUGUUCAUACAUGUAUAUAUACAUUCAUGCAUGUCUAAAGGCAUACAUACGUAUAUGUGUGUGUUUGUAUGUGUGUGUGUGUGUGCAUACAUACAUACAUGCAAACAUAUAUUGCACACAUAAUACAAGCAUACAUGCAUACCUUCAACCACGCGUAUAAGCGUACAUGUAAUUAAAGAUCCUCCUUCAUGUACAUAUAUACAAGCAUACACACACAAGUACGCAACAAUUGGUGUUGUUCUUGUUGUUGUGUUGUU
rnacentral:lncRNA from 1 species